AAUGAUGAUGCUGAAAUAAUGAAAUAAAAUUGUUAUUUUUUCUUAAUUUCCUCUCUCUUGUAUUUCCCAUUCAAGAGGAUAAUUAGGGUAGUUAAAAUGUUGCAUUGGCAAUUUUUUUAAAGCAGUAUCCUUUGGUCAGUAGAUAUCUCUCCCCAAAUCCUUGUAAUAGGUUGUUUCUCUGAAGGGA
rnacentral:ribozyme from 1 species